AGGUGCUGCAUGGCUGUCGUCAGCUCGUGUUGUGAAAUGUUGGGUUAAGUCCCGCAACGAGCGCAACCCUUAUCCUUUGUUGCCAGCGAUUCGGUCGGGAACUCAAAGGAGACUGCCGGUGAUAAACCGGAGGAAGGUGGGGAUGACGUCAAGUCAUCAUGGCCCUUACGAGUAGGGCUACACACGUGCUACAAUGGCGCAUACAAAGAGAAGCGACCUCGCGAGAGCAAGCGGACCUCACAAAGUGCGUCGUAGUCCGGAUCGGAGUCUGCAACUCGACUCCGUGAAGUCGGAAUCGCUAGUAAUCGUGGAUCANAAUGCCACGGUGAAUACGUUCCCGGGUCUUG
rnacentral:rRNA from 1 species